rnacentral:lncRNA from 1 species
AGAAGAACAAAACCAUGAAGCUGCUACAUAUUGUUUAUCUAGGGAAAUGCUUCUAGAAAAGAUACAAAGUGCACUUGCUGAUAUUGCACAGUCACAACUGAUCACAGUUACAGCUGAAGACAAGAAGUAGUACCCAUGGCCAGUCUCUUCCAGACUUAUAGCACCAGUGAAUACUAUGUGGCUGAGAAAAGGAUUGUUCCAACAACAUUAAGAAUUCUGUCUCAGAUUUAGAUGGUAAGCCUUACCAACAGUUACAGAAACAUUAAACACUGACAUGUGUUACCUUUUUAGCUACUUUUAAUAAUCUCCAAUUUUCACUCUUGAUAAACAAGGUUAUAAAACUGUGAUUAAACCAUCUCUGAACCAUAAUUUUAAUUUAUUUUACUUUAUUUUAUUCUUAUUUUAUUUUGAAACAGGGUCUUGCUCUGUCACCCAGGCUGGAGUGCAGCAGCAGGAUCACAGAUCAGUGCCACCUCGACCUCACAGGCUCAAGGAAUCCUCCCACCUCAGCCUCCUGAGUAGCUGGGACUACAGAGGCACACCACCAAGCCCAGCUAAAUUAAAAAUUACAUACUGUAUGAUUCCAUUUAUAUAAAGUAAUGAGAACAGACAAAUCUAGAGAGACAGAAAAGAGAUUAGUGGUUGCCAGAUUGGUGGCUGGGAUGAGGGAAUAAUGGGGCGUGAGUGUUUGAUGAAUACAGGGUUUCCUUUUGGGGUGAUGAAAAUACUCCAUUUCCAUCUCAGAAUCUAAACACAUGGUCACCUUUGAGGAGAGAGGCCCAGCAGUGCUACCUGUAAAUGAUGCAUGCUCUCCACCACCCAAACAAAACCACAAGAAUUUGUAACAGAGAAGGAAAAAGAACUAAAGGCCCUAGAUUGUAAAGAUUUUCUCCCAUUCUGUAGGUUGCCUGUUCACUCUGUAGUGUCUUUUGCUGUGCAGAAGCUCUUUAGUUUAAUUAGAUCCCAUUUGUCUAUUUUGGCUUUUGUUGCCAUUGCUUUUGGUGUUUUAGUCAUGAAGUCCUUGCCCAUGCUUAUGUCCUGAAUGCUAUUGCCUAGGUUUUCUUCUAGCGUUUUUAUGGUUUUAGGUCUAACAUUUAAGUCUUUAAUCCAUCUUGAAUUAAUUUUUGUAUAAGGUAUAAAGAAGGGAUCCAAUUUCAGCUUUCUACAUAUGGCUAGCCAGUUUUCCCAGCACCAUUUAUUAAACAGGGCAUCCUUUCCCCAUUUCUUGUUUUUGUCAGGUUUGUCAAAGAUCAGAUGGUUGUAGAUGUGUAUUAUUUCUGAGGGCUCUGUUCUGUUCCAUUGGUCUAUAUAUCUGUUUUGGUACCAGUGCCAUGCUGUUUUCGUUACUGUAGCCUUAUAGUAUAGUUUGAAGUCAGGUAGCAUGAUGCCUCCAGCUUUGUUUUUUUGGCUUAGGAUAUUCUUGCCAAUAUGGAAUCUUUUUUGGUUCUAUAUGAACUUUAAAGUAGUUUUUUCCAAUUCUGUGAAAAAAGUCAUUGGUAGCUUGAUGGGGAUACCACUGAAUGUAUAAAUUACCUUGGGCAGUAUGGCCAUUUUCACGAUAUUGAUUCUUCCUAUCCAUGAGCAUGGAAUGUUCUUCCAUUUGUUUAUGUCCUCUUUUAUUUCGUUGAGCAGUGGUUUGUAGUUCUCUUUGAAGAGGUCCUUCACAUCCCUUGUAAGUUGGAUUCCUAGGUAUUUUAUUCUCUUUGAAGCAAUUGUGGAUGGGAGUUCACUCAUGAUUUGGCUCUCUGUUUGUCUGUUAUUGGUUUAUAGGAAUGCUUGUGAUUUUUGCACAUUGAUUUUUGUAUCCUGAGACUUUGCUGAAGUUGCUUAUCAGCUUAAGGAGAUUUGGGGCUGACACGAUGGGGUUUUCUAAAUAUACAAUCAUAUCAUCUGCAAACAAGGACAAUUUGACUUCUUCUUUUCCUAAUUGAAUACCCUUUAUUUCUUUCUCCUGUCUGAUUGCCCUGGCCAGAACUUCCAACACUAUGCUGAAUAGGAGUGGUGAGAGAGGGUAUCCCUGUCUUGUGCCAGUUUUCAAAGGGAAUGCUUCCAGUUUUUGUACAUUCAGUAUGAUAUUGGCUGUGAGUUUGCCAAAAAUAGCUCUUAUUAUUUUGAGAUACAUCCCAUCAAUACCUAGUUUAUUGAGAGUUUUUAGAAUGAAGUGCUGUUGAAUUUUGUCAAAGGCCUUUUCUGCAUCUAUUGAAAUAAUCAUGUGGUUUUUGUCUUUGAUUCUGUUUAUGUGAUGGAUUAUGUUUAUUGACAUUCGUAUGUUGAACCAGCCUUGCAUCACAGGGAUGAAGCCCACUUGAUCGUGGUGGAUAAGCUUUUUGAUGUGCUGCUGGAUUCAGUUUGCCAGUAUUGUAUUGAGGAUUUUUGCAUCGAUGUUCAUGAGGGAUAUUGGUCUAAAAUAGGCUUUGGUAUCAGGAUGAUGCUGGCCUCAUAAAAUGAGUUCGGGAGGAGUCCCUCUUCUUCUAUUGAUUGGAAUAGUUUCAGAAGAAAUGGUACCAGCUCAUCUUUGUACCUCUGGUAGAAUUCGGCUGUGAAUCCAUCUGGUCCUGGACUUUUUUGGUCAGUAGGCCAUUAAUUAUUGCCUAAAUUUCAGAGCCUGUUGUUGGUCUAUUCAGGGAUUCAACUUCUUCCUGGUUUAGUCUUGUAUGUGUCGAGGAAUUUAUCCAUUUCUUCUAGAUUUUCUACUUUAUUUGCGCAGAGGUGUUUAUAGUAUUCUCCGAUGGUAGUUUGUAUUUCUGUGGGAUCAGUGGUAAUAACCCCUUUAUCAUUUUUUAUUGUAUCUAUUUGAUACUUCUCUCUUUUCUUCUUUAUUAGUCUUGCUAGUGGUCUAUCAAUUUUGUUGAUCUUUUCAAAAAACCAGCUCCUAGAUACAUUGAUUUUUUUGAAGGGUUUUUUGUGUCUCUAUCUCCUUCAGUUCUGCUCUGAUCUUAGUUAUUUCUUGCCUUCUGCUAGCUUUUGAAUGUGUUUGGUCUUGCUUCUCUAGUUCUUUUACUUGUGAUGUUAGGGUGUCAAUUUUAGAUCUUUCCUGCUUUCUCUUGUGGGCAUUUAGUGCUAUAAAUUUCCCUCUAUAGAUUGCUUUAAAUGUGUCCCAGAGUCUGGUUAUGUUGUGUCUUUGUU